CUAGCCUGCUCNCUGACAUAAAGUGUUAAAUAGCCGCGGUAUCUUGACCGUGCAAAGGUAGCAUAAUCAUUAGUUUCUUAAUUGGGAACUUGUAUGAAUGGUUGGACAAAGAAAAAUCUGUCUCUUGCACUGAAAUUGAAUUUAACUUCUAAGUGAAAAGGCUUAGAUUAUCCAGAGGGACGAUAAGACCCUAUAAAGCUUUAUAAAUUUAUUAAUUUCGUUUAUUUUUUAUUAUAAUAAUGAUGAUAAGAGAAUUUAUUUGGUUGGGGCAACCGAAGUAUAAUUUUAAAUAACUGCUAUAAUUUAAUACAACGAUUUUUGUCUUAUACAAUAAUUGAUCCUCAAAGAGAUUAAAGACCAAGUUACUUUAGGGAUAACAGCGUAAUUUAUCCUGAGAGUUCUUAUCAAAGGAAAAGUUUGCGACCUCGAUGUUGAAUUAAAAUGUCUACCUAGUGCAGCAGCUAGGAAAGAAGGUCUGUUCGACCUUUAAUUUUUUACAUGAUC
rnacentral:rRNA from 1 species